rnacentral:rRNA from 1 species
AGCAGCCGCGGUAAUUCCAGCUCCAAUAGCGUAUAUUAAAGUUGUUGCAGUUAAAAGCUCGUAGUUGAAUUUCGGAAUUAGUGCGCUGGUCAUGCCUUUGGUAUGUACUGGUGUUACUGGUUUCUACCUUCUGAAGAACCGUUAUGUCAUUUAUUUGGUGUGGCGGGGAAUCAGGACUGUUACUUUGAAAAAAUUAGAGUGUUUAAAGCAGGCUCGCGCUUGAAUACAUUAGCAUGGAAUAAUGAAAUAGGACGUUUGACCCUAUUUUGUUGGUUUCUAGGAUCGACGUAAUGAUUAAUAGGGAUAGUUGGGGGCAUUAGUAUUCAAUUGUCAGAGGUGAAAUUCUUGGAUUUAUUGAAGACUAACUACUGCGAAAGCAUUUGCCAAGGAUGUUUUCAUUAAUCAAGAACGAAAGUUGGGGGAUCGAAGACGAUCAGAUACCGUCGUAGUCUUAACCAUAAACUAUGCCGACUAGGGAUCGGAUGAUGUUAUUUUUAAUGACUCAUUCGGCGCCUUACGG